UCGUUAGAGGGAUGGAGAGCAUCGCGUGUUUGAGUCUUGUGACACUUCCA
rnacentral:miRNA from 1 species